rnacentral:rRNA from 1 species
AUGGAGCAGGAGAAGAAGCUCAAGGUGCUUUGCCUCCACGGCUUUCGGACAAGUGGGGGUUUCCUGAAGAAGCAGAUCAGCAAAUGGCACCCUUCCAUCCUCCAGCAGUUCGACACGGUCUUCCCUGAUGGCCAGUUCCCAGCUGGGGGGAAGUCCGACAUCGAGGGCAUAUUCCCCCCACCAUACUUUGAGUGGUUUCAGUUCGACAAGGAUUUCACCGAAUACACAAAUUUAGACGAGUGCAUUGCCUAUCUGUGUGAUUACAUGGUGAAAAACGGGCCUUUCGACGGUCUGCUUGGAUUCUCCCAGGGCGCAACACUUUCAGCCCUUUUGAUAGGCUACCAAGCACAGGGCAAGGUGCUGAAUGAUCACCCACCAAUUAAGUUCAUGGUGUCAGUAUCCGGGAGCAAAUUCAGGGACCCAAGCAUCUGCGAUGUGGCCUACAAGGACCCGAUCAAGGCGAAAUCUGUACAUUUCAUUGGAGAGAAAGACUGGCUCAAAGUACCUUCCGAGGAGCUGGCUUCUGCCUUUGCUGACCCUCUCAUCAUAAGGCACCCCCAGGGUCACACUGUCCCCAGGCUUGAUGAGGCAUCUGUGAAGCAGCUUUCUGAAUGGAGCGCAAGCAUCCUGGAAGAUCUCAAGAACGCAGACGCUCCCAAGGCCUCAAAUUCAGAGAGUUCAGUAGAUAAGGACAAUGUCGGCGUGCAGUCAGCAGAAAACCUGAGGGAACAAGUUGCAGCUUGA